rnacentral:tmRNA from 1 species
GGGGGUGCACCGGUUUCGACUGGUACGGUUCGGGGUGCGGGUUGCAGGUGGAGCGCUCAUCUCCUGAUUGGGCAAAAAUUUAACUGCCAACAACGACAGUUACGCUCUCGCUGCGUAAGUAGCGGAACGCGGAAACCAAUCCCGCCGCCUUGAGGGGUUGUAUUUCCGUCGCAAUCAAGGCUGGUCAAACCCUGUUUCCGGGCAGGGUGCGAUAAGAUUUCCCCGGAAUACGGAUGGGCCGCAUGCCGCGCAGCCAAGCUCGUCCCGACAAUAUAAAGCGCAGCUAAACCUGUAGAGGCUCGUAUUUCGCGUAUUAGGACGCGGGUUCGAUUCCCGCCACCUCCAUGU